UGUCCUCCAGGCCGCCAGAAGCAGCUUUAUAGCUGGCCCGAGCAGUGCAUCAUGGGAUAGCAGGCCCCCAGGUUUCUGUGGGACCGGUAGAGCUUUUGUCUGGACCGACAAUAGUAUUGUCUGAAAUAGAGGAACUGCUCUCGUCCACCCCCUGUUGGCACCUUGUCGACUCGAGGCCACAGAGUUGUCCCUGCAACGGUUGCGGCCUUCGAGGGGAGAUCCCACAAAUAUUAACGAUGAACAAUCCGGACAGAGCCCGGUGGGGAGUCUGAUGGGGCUAUGGACGGUUUGACAAGACUUCAUUCGGAGUCUGGAAUAAAGAUGUGAUGAUUUGCUCCUAAACUACAUCUGCUAUCGGGAUCUAGAGAGACAAACUGAAGAAGAUAAUCAUUGGACGUGGUUCGAGUUGGACGGACAAAAAGCUUGUCUUCUGUCGUUGACAGGUAGUCCCACUUCACAAUCGAAAAGAUAGGGGAAGGAAAAUUUUCACCCCUUCAAAGAGAUGAUUCAGGCAUCCCUGUCUCAGCUAGCCAAUUACCGGUUUGAUUACGAAGACAGGACACACUCUGAAUGAAAUUUCAUUCUAAGGUAGGUUGUAUAAUUAUGUUGUCCCUCCUUAUAACUGAUUAAAAUAUUAAAGAUUAAAACGUUUAAAAUACAUCAGUACUGAUAUAGAUGUAAAUGUUUUCUAAUAAUUAAUUAUAGGGAAAUUUUAAUUAUCAUCUUCUUU